AUGCAGUCGAACGCCCCGCAAGGGGAGUGGCAGACGGGUGAGUAACGCGUGGGAACAUACCCUUUCCUGCGGAAUAGCUCCGGGAAACUGGAAUUAAUACCGCAUACGCCCUACGGGGGAAAGAUUUAUCGGGGAAGGAUUGGCCCGCGUUGGAUUAGCUAGUUGGUGGGGUAAAGGCCUACCAAGGCGACGAUCCAUAGCUGGUCUGAGAGGAUGAUCAGCCACAUUGGGACUGAGACACGGCCCAAACUCCUACGGGAGGCAGCAGUGGGGAAUAUUGGACAAUGGGCGCAAGCCUGAUCCAGCCAUGCCGCGUGAGUGAUGAAGGCCUUAGGGUUGUAAAGCUCUUUCACCGAUGAAGAUAAUGACGGUAGUCGGAGAAGAAGCCCCGGCUAACUUCGUGCCAGCAGCCGCGGUAAUACGAAGGGGGCUAGCGUUGUUCGGAAUUACUGGGCGUAAAGCGCACGUAGGCGGAUAUUUAAGUCAGGGGUGAAAUCCCGCAGCUCAACUGCGGAACUGCCUUUGAUACUGGGUAUCUUGAGUAUGGAAGAGGUAAGUGGAAUUCCGAGUGUAGAGGUGAAAUUCGUAGAUAUUCGGAGGA
rnacentral:rRNA from 1 species